rnacentral:misc_RNA from 1 species
AAGUCGUAACAAGGUUUCCGUAGGUGAACCUGCGGAAGGAUCAUUAACUAGUAUUGAAGUCCACGGGGAUCAGGCUUUCCGAAAGGAGGGUGGGGGGAUGUUUGGUUCCCCCUGCUUGGGCAGACUGGAGAGCAUUGUGUAGCCACUUUUGUUGGCUACGUUAUGUUUGGCCUCUGCUGAUCGAGCUUGUCACCUGAAUUCUACUACCCUUGCUUUUUGCGCACCCAUUGUUUCCUCGGUAGGCUUGCCUGCCAGUAGGACCAUUUAAAACCCUUUGUGAUUGCAAUCAGCGUCAGAAACAACGUAAUUGUUACAACUUUCAACAACGGAUCUCUUGGUUCUG